AGUGAACGCUGGCGGUAGGCCUAACACAUGCAAGUCGAACGGCAGCACAGUAAGAGCUUGCUCUUACGGGUGGCGAGUGGCGGACGGGUGAGGAAUACAUCGGAAUCUACUUUUUCGUGGGGGAUAACGUAGGGAAACUUACGCUAAUACCGCAUACGACCUACGGUUGAAAGCAGGGGAUCUUCGGACCUUGCGCGAUUGAAUGAGCCGAUGUCGGAUUAGCUAGUUGGCGUGGUAAAGGCCCACCAAGGCGACGAUCCGUAGCUGGUCUGAGAGGAUGAUCAGCCACACUGGAACUGAGACACGGUCCAGACUCCUACGGGAGGCAGCAGUGGGGAAUAUUGGACAAUGGGCGCAAGCCUGAUACAGCCAUACCGCGUGGGUGAAGAAGGCCUUCGGGUUGUAAAGCCCUUUUGUUGGGAAAGAAAAGCAGCAGGUUAAUACCCCGCUGUUCUGACGGUACCCAAAGAAUAAGCACCGGCUAACUUCGUG
rnacentral:rRNA from 1 species